GAUUUAAGUCCAUAGAACCUAAUUUCUCAAGAGUUGUGGUUAUAAGAUCUUCAAAAAAAAAAAAAAAUGUGAACCUGUGGGAACAAUCAAAUGGCAUCUUUAUAAUUCUCCAGUCGAGUCUUUUAUAAGCCAUGAUUGCAUCAUGUUAGACUUAAGACCCGAACAUGUUUGAGUUGGAUUGUCAGUUUAAAAAUGGGUGCAUAAAACCAUUCGAAUCAUGUUCCUCUUUUCUCUGCUAAACCGGUCGAGUUAUGGUAUCAUUAUAGAACCAGUAUCGUGUACUUUUUCUUCCAAAUCUUGAAUGAAAUGACCAGGUAUUAAAACAAGACUAUUUGUUGUGCUACUUUGGAGGUUGUUGUGUGCAUGAAAAUAUACCAAUAAGGUUCUCUGCCGAACUUGCUUUUGUUUUGGCAAAUACAUACUUAUAAUUUUGGGUUUUAGAACUUGGAGCCACAAAUGCUUUAAGAACUUGAAAGGAUCUCUUUUCCUUUUGUGAAGGUGUUUCUUUUUUGUCUUGGUUUACUACGGGAUGAUAAGUGUGUUGGCUUUUACGAUCACUCAUAUAGCAUCAUGGAAGUAUUAGAGAUUUGGGAAGCGAACAUAAUUUAUUUUGAACCAAUUUUGAAGUACCAUAGCCUAGCAUAACAAUUAACUCUCAUUUAUUCACUAAAAUGUUUGGUUUGGUUAGAAUUGUUUGAACUCAUUUGGUUGCCUAUAAUGGUUACGUAAGUAAGAGACGGGCUACACAUAAAGGUGUGAAAAUUGUUCAACUUUUUAAAUCUUUAUAGAGCUUAGGUUCGGCGCAUAAUGCGCAUAAGUUAGAUCAUGGUGUGUUUGCUUUAUUUUGAGACGUUUACUUAAGUCGGGUUGAUCUCUUUCCAAAGUUGGUGAAUAUUUGGUGCUAAAUCUAGUAAAUUAUUUGUUCUUGAUGGCAUGUUUUACUCAUUAGAUUUUGGCAUUAUUAAGAUCAAUUAAGGGUAUCACUAAUCCUUACCUUUAUCCUAUUUUUUUUAUAAGGACCCUUGGGAGCAUUAGGAGUUAUGGCAACUCCGGAUUCUGCCCAUAUCAGAGAGCAGCCAGCAGCAGAUUUAUUUGUUCGUGUCUAGCUAUCCCCUACUUUCGCAUCUCGAGUCUCCGUUCUUCCUUUAUUCAAAAUUUUAAGCCUUUGUAUUGGUUCAUAUACCCUGUUUAUAUUAUUUGACUAACACUCUUGUGAAUUUGUGUUUUUGUAGUUUUGUUGUGAACUCGUAACUCGACUUAAAUA